CCUACGGGUGGCUGCAGUGAGGAAUAUUGCACAAUGGCGGAAACCCUGAUGCAGCGACGCCGCGUGAGUGAAGAAGUCUUUCGGUAUGUAAAGCUCUAUCAGCCGGGAAGAAAAUGACGCUCCCUUAUUAAGAAGCCCCGGCUAACUACGUGCCCACAGCCCGGCUAUUACGUAGGGGGCAGGCUUUUUCCGGGUUUACUGGGGGUAAAGGGAGCGUAGACGGUAGGACAAGUCUGGAGUGAAGUGCCGGGGCUUAACCCCGGAACUGCUUUUGAAACUGGCGAGCUAGAGUGCAGGGGAGGUAAGUGGAAUUUGUAGUGUAGCGGUGAAAUGCGUAGAUAUUAGGAGGAACACCAGUGGCGAAGGCGGCUUACGGGACUGUAACUGACGUUGAGGCUCGAAAGCGUGGGGAGCAAACAGGAUUAGAUACCCUAGUAGUC
rnacentral:rRNA from 1 species